ensembl:snRNA U6 U6 spliceosomal RNA
GCACUCGCUUCAGCAGCACAUAUUCUAAAUCUGGAAACAACACAGAGACGAUUAACAUGGCCCCUGCGUAAGGAUGUCACACAAAUUUGUGAAGUGUUCCAUAUAUUU